rnacentral:rRNA from 1 species
UACGUAGGGGGCAAGCGUUAUCCGGAUUUACUGGGUGUAAAGGGAGAGUAGGUGGCAGAGCAAGUCCGAAGUGAAAACCCAAAGCUCAACUAUGGGAAUGCUUUAGAAACUGCUCAGCUAGAGUGCAGGAGAGGCAAGUGGAAUUCUUAGUGUAGCGGUGGAAUGCGUAGAUAUUAGGAGGAACACCAGUGGCGAAGGCGAUUUGCUGGGCCAUUACUGACGCUCAUGCACGAAAGCGUGGGGAGCAAAUAGG